UGUGGUAACAGUCGUCGGACUGUCGGAGGCAUUUUUUAUUGCAAAUCUGUAGGUAGUUCUGUCAUCAUCUGCUCUAUUAAAAUCUUUGGAACCUUGUGCUGAGUUGUACUUAAAAUACAUAAUACUUGCACUGUUGCAGCCUGCUGACCCUCUCGUUAGAUCUCGUUAGAGAGUAUUAUUGUUCUGUGCUGCUGAUAGUGUAUAAAUAAGAUGUGAACGCUGGUUUUAACCUUUGUUGAACCUGAAUACUUAUUGGUGACAACAAGCUACAGUUGAGAAAAUCAAGUCUAGUCACUUGGUUUGUGGAAAAAUGUGCUUUCACAAUAAAGGAAAAACCAGUCUGCAAUCUAACUUAGCUAAGUUAAGCAUGAGUCAAAAAUUCAGUCUUUAUUAGAUAUUGUUUUGUUGGGAUUCAAAAUUGACUACUGUGGUACAACAGUCGCCAUCUAUGUCAGUUAUUGAGAUACAAUUAAGUGUGUCUCAAACAUUUAAAAAGUUUGUCGCCUGUUUUUGUUGUUUCUUUGAUUGUUGUUUGUCUUGGUUUUUGGUCAUGUAAUCUAUUAAGGUUGUUGAUUGUAAAUCUUUGGAAUAUUCAGUUCUAUAAGCUUGUUUAUUCUAGUUCGACUUGACUUCACUACCUAAUUGAAUAUUUUUCUUGAUAUCUUAAAUUUUUUUAUUGAUUACUUUAACAUCUGAGGUAUAGAUUUAGAUGAACUAUUCGUCAUUCAGACCGUAGCCGAACCGCUACCUUGUGGCCAUAGGUCAGCCGCCCCCAACAAUAACUGUUACUUGCACCAAUCACAUUCCUAAUAAGCCAAAAUAUGAUGGUAUAGGUCGCGCGGCGGUUCUUGAUCGCUCGACGAAAAUAGUGGGGGUAGUCGGCGCAUGUGUACAAUUGCGCUCAUCAAUUCUUAGUAUGUUACUUACUAUAAGGGUUUUUUUAAUUCUUAUGUUUGAACGGUAACUUAACAUAUAGACACUGGUUUUUGCUUGUAAUUUAUAGUGUACGUAGGUAAAUUCAGAAAAAAAAAAACAAACGUAAAUUUUGUACUUUAUAUAAUUAGUAAUUAUAUAAAGUACAAAAUUGAUGUAAAAGAUACCUUAUACAAAGUAUCUAAAAUACUAGAUGCAA